GAUGAAGAACGUAGCGAAAUGCGAUACGUAAUGUGAAUUGCAAAUUCAGUGAAUCAUCGAGUCUUUGAACGCACAUUGCGCCCCCUGGUAUUCCGGGGGGCAUGCCUGUCCGAGCGUCAUUUCUGCCCUCAAGCACGGCUUGUGUGUUGGGCCCCGUCCUCCGAUUCCGGGGGACGGGCCCGAAAGGCAGCGGCGGCACCGAGUCCGGUCCUCGAGCGUAUGGGGCUUUGUCACCCGCUCUGUAGGCCCGGCCGGCGCUUGCCGAUCAACCCAAAUUUUUAUCCAGGUUGACCUCGGAUCAGGUAGGGAUACCCGCUGAACUUAAGCAUAUCAAUAAGCGGAGGA
rnacentral:misc_RNA from 1 species